GUGGGACUGACUCACGCGAGACAGAAAUGACAACCCGCGAUUGUAAAGGCAGGAGUCGGGACACCCACAUCUCCCACUCCUCCCUCCCUGGCCCUGAGGUCCCUUCCGUAGAGUCGACCUAGACUGUCCACCAGGUGUUCUGUCUGUCCGGAUUGCUCCCGAACGGUUGGGGCUGACCUGGUUUUUGCCGGGCCACGUAGACCUGUGUUUUAUUCAGUUUUAUUCGUUGUGAAGGGUAGUCGGCGGGCCGCCCAAUGGCACAGCGGUUAAGUGCGCGCUUCCGCCUCGGCGGCCCCGGUUCCGGGUUAGGAUCGCCGGUGCGGACAUGGCACCGCUUGGCAAGCCGUGGUGUGGCAGGCGUCCCACAUAUAACAGUAGAGGAAAAUGGGCACGGAUGUUAGCUCAGGGCCAGUCUUGCUCGGCAAAAAGAGGAGGAUUGGCAGAUCUUAGCUUAGGACUGAUCUUCCUCAAAAAUAAAAGGGGGGGUGUCGCUGCUUUCCUUUGCUUUUCAGUGCUGGCGUUGGUUGUCUCGCUUUGAUCAGUACUGGGUAGGUAGUAGAGAUUUAAAUACACCCUCAUUAAAUGUCAGAGAGUCUUAAAAGUUUUGGAGCUAGAUGACCUGCCAAAUCAGGACUGCCUGUUUAGUUAGUACAAUUCCCUCAUUUUACACUAGUUUGUUCUACGUAACAUAGCCAUUGACUCUUAGGAAACCUAAGCAUUUUAAGAACGAUCGUUUAGUUCAGUUAACGUUCUAGGCGGAGUGCUAAAGCCUUUACACGUUUUAUCUCGUUUAAUUCUCACGACAAUGCUAUGAAAUAGUUGCCAUUAUUAUUUUUUUUAGUAGAUAAGAGAACCGAAGCACAAAGAGAGCUGAAGCCCGAGGUAAACCAGUAAGUAGAUGGAAGCAGUAUUCCAGUACAGAGCAGUGACUUCAGAGGUCGUGAGCUAAACUGAUGGGCUCUUGUUACCACUAUAUUUUAAUAUGGAAGUUUUUGCAGGUUUCUAGUUCACAUCUUUAGCACUUUGUAACCCUGCCAGUUAAAAGAUCUGUGUCUGAAAAUGGGAGAAGGAAAAAACCAAAGGAGGUGCUGACUAACUUAGAAGGUUUGUGAUCUAUUGUAAGUAAACAACUAGAUUUUCUAUCUAAAAACAGGAACUAACUAACAUAUAAUUAUUGUAGUAUUAUCAGGAGCUAUAAAAAUUGCAAAUUUAGGAGGAAGCUUGGCACACGUUAGCUCAGGGCUAAUCUUCCUCAAGCAAAAAAAAGGAGGAUUGGCAACAGAUGAUAGCUCAGGGCAAGUCUUCCUCAAAAAAAAGCAAAUUUGGGGGCAAAAUAAGUGAUUGCUGUUUUGGAGGUCUAGGAUGUGGUGGGGCACAACAUGAGAAGAGAG
rnacentral:lncRNA from 1 species